AUAAAGAUUCCUAAAUCCCCAAUUCCAGAAUGCAGGACUCAGCUAUUCUCUGCAAUGGUGAGUGCUGAAAACUGGUCUACCGGUGGGUGCAUUCGAUUCGUCGAUGGCUGCAACAAGUUGAGGUCGGGUUGUUUCCACAUGAGACACUCCAAAUUCUCACGAAUGCCAUGGAAACCUAGCCCAUUGAAUACACUUCACCCCAACACGAACAACUCAUGUCUGACUGAUUGCAGGGGCAAUAUCCAAGUCUCUCUUCCUUGUCACUUCUCCCACUCCCUCUGUAACUGUUACAUCUCUUGUGGAAUUACUUUCAAUUGACAAUAUUUUCUCACUCCCAACUAUUUGUAAUGGCUCUUGCAAAGUAGCUAGUUCAUCAAGAAUAUAUUCAGCCUUCCUUCAUCUUGCUCAACUGCUAGCAGAUGCAGAUUGUCAUUCCUGAGGAUUAUUUCCAGUCCAGUAGUAGUUGCAUUCAGUUUUGUUGAUUUUAUAUGUUGUAUUGUAUUCCCCUCCGUUGUAUCUUCCUAAAUGUCAUUGCCUUUAUCUGUUAUGUUCUUCUAGUGAUUUUCUGUAAUAUGAUUACUUUGAGCAAAUGUCUUAUUGACCCAAUUUUUAGUGGACCUAUGUUGUUGAUCUU